rnacentral:lncRNA from 1 species
UUUGCAUGAUUUGAGCUUGGGAGGCGAAAUGUGCAUAGAGGAGCUGAGUUUCUGCCCUUCGGGAGAAGCUCAGGUUCGGCCGCCGAAGUGACUUUCGGCCGCCGAACCCCCUUUGUGGAGGCAGCAUUCGGCUGCCGAAGUUGCCCCCGAAAAGAGACUUUCGUCUCUGUCUGGGACUUUCGGCCGCCGAAGGUGCCGCCGAAAGUGCC